UACGUAGGCAGCAAGCGUUGUUCGGAAUUACUGGGCGUAAAGAGUGUGUAGGCGGUGUUCUAAGUCUGUUGUGAAAUCUCCCGGCUUAACUGGGAGGGUGCGGCGGAAACUGGAAUGCUAGAGGAUGGGAGAGGUAAGCGGAAUUCCUGGUGUAGCGGUGAAAUGCGUAGAUAUCAGGAGGAACACCUGUGGUGUAGACAGCUUACUGGACCAUUUCUGACGCUGAGGCACGAAAGCGUGGGUAGCAAACAGG
rnacentral:rRNA from 1 species